rnacentral:rRNA from 1 species
UGUUUCGGCUAGGGGGCCAUCCCGGCUUACCAACCCGAUGCAAACUGCGAAUACCGGAGAAUGUUAUCACGGGAGACACACGGCGGGUGCUAACGUCCGUCGUGAAGAGGGAAACAACCCAGACCGCCAGCUAAGGUCCCAAAGUCAUGGUUAAGUGGGAAACGAUGUGGGAAGGCCCAGACAGCCAGGAUGUUGGCUUAGAAGCAGCCAUCAUUUAAAGAAAGCGUAAUAGCUCACUGGUCGAGUCGGCCUGCGCGGAAGAUGUAACGGGGCUAAACCAUGCACCGAAGCUGCGGCAGCGACGCUGAUGCGUUGUUGGGUAGGGGAGCGUUCUGUAAGCCUGCGAAGGUGGCCUGUGAGGGUUGCUGGAGGUAUCAGAAGUGCGAAUGCUGACAUAAGUAACGAUAAAGCGGGUGAAAAGCCCGCUCGCCGGAAGACCAAGGGUUCCUGUCCAACGUUAAUCGGGGCAGGGUGAGUCGACCCCUAAGGCGAGGCCGAAAGGCGUAGUCGAUGGGAAACGGGUUAAUAUUCCCGUACUUGGUGUUACUGCGAAGGGGGGACGGAGAAGGCUAUGUUGGCCGGGCGACGGUUGUCCCGGUUUAAGCGUGUAGGUGUGUGUUCCAGGUAAAUCCGGUUCACUUUAACACUGAGGCGUGACGACGAGGCACUACGGUGCUGAAGCAACAAAUGCCCUGCUUCCAGGAAAAGCCUCUAAGCAUCAGGUAACAUCAAAUCGUACCCCAAACCGACACAGGUGGUCAGGUAGAGAAUACCAAGGCGCUUGAGAGAACUCGGGUGAAGGAACUAGGCAAAAUGGUGCCGUAACUUCGGGAGAAGGCACGCUGACACGUAGGUGAAGUGAUUUACUCAUGGAGCUGAAGUCAGUCGAAGAUACCAGCUGGCUGCAACUGUUUAUUAAAAACACAGCACUGUGCAAACACGAAAGUGGACGUAUACGGUGUGACGCCUGCCCGGUGCCGGAAGGUUAAUUGAUGGGGUCAGCGCAAGCGAAGCUCCUGAUCGAAGCCCCGGUAAACGGCGGCCGUAACUAUAACGGUCCUAAGGUAGCGAAAUUCCUUGUCGGGUAAGUUCCGACCUGCACGAAUGGCGUAAUGAUGGCCAGGCUGUCUCCACCCGAGACUCAGUGAAAUUGAACUCGCUGUGAAGAUGCAGUGUACCCGCGGCAAGACGGAAAGACCCCGUGAACCUUUACUAUAGCUUGACACUGAACAUUGAGCCUUGAUGUGUAGGAUAGGUGGGAGGCUUUGAAGUGUGGACGCCAGUCUGCAUGGAGCCGACCUUGAAAUACCACCCUUUAAUGUUUGAUGUUCUAACGUGGACCCGUGAUCCGGGUUGCGGACAGUGUCUGGUGGGUAGUUUGACUGGGGCGGUCUCCUCCUAAAGAGUAACGGAGGAGCACGAAGGUUGGCUAAUCCUGGUCGGACAUCAGGAGGUUAGUGCAAUGGCAUAAGCCAGCUUGACUGCGAGCGUGACGGCGCGAGCAGGUGCGAAAGCAGGUCAUAGUGAUCCGGUGGUUCUGAAUGGAAGGGCCAUCGCUCAACGGAUAAAAGGUACUCCGGGGAUAACAGGCUGAUACCGCCCAAGAGUUCAUAUCGACGGCGGUGUUUGGCACCUCGAUGUCGGCUCAUCACAUCCUGGGGCUGAAGUAGGUCCCAAGGGUAUGGCUGUUCGCCAUUUAAAGUGGUACGCGAGCUGGGUUUAGAACGUCGUGAGACAGUUCGGUCCCUAUCUGCCGUGGGCGCUGGAGAACUGAGGGGGGCUGCUCCUAGUACGAGAGGACCGGAGUGGACGCAUCACUGGUGUUCGGGUUGUCAUGCCAAUGGCACUGCCCGGUAGCUAAAUGCGGAAGAGAUAAGUGCUGAAAGCAUCUAAGCACGAAACUUGCCCCGA